CAUUGUUCUCUUGAAAUUAGGUGAACUCCCAGACUUCCAGGAGCUUUGAAGUUGAGGAUGAUAUUAAGUUCAAUGCUAACAAUAUCUUGGCAUCAUAUUUCAGUUUCAGAUAAUUCCGCAAGCAUAGACACCAAGGGGAUAGUACAACAUCUCAACAACGUCCCUGAAAAGAGUCCUGGUAUCAGUUUUUAUUCCAUAAGAAGAGCAAUACACCUGUCAAUUAUAAAGAGAUAAAGAAGUCUGGAUGAAACUGGAGGCAUGUCUGAUGGACAACAUGAAGUACUCUUCUUUAACCAAAGUGGACAUACUGCCUUCCUCAACUCUGCUACUUCCUUACAGCCCAAGAGAGAGUCACCUGGAUUUUCAUGCAGCUUCACACAGAAAUAUCCAUGAGCCAUUAGG